CGUAGUUUUUAGUACCCUAAACAUUUUUAUUGAAAUUAGAAUAGUGAAUACUAAAUGUAUAUUUUUUUCUUAAAAAUUCUUGCAAAUUACAACGAUUGUAUUGACACAGGUUUGAACGUCUGUGAAGUUGUCCCCUGGACUUUGUCCUAUCGACUCCAGACCAAUUCCAAAAUUUAGCAACCUUUUGGUAACUAAUUUUAACCGACAAUAAACAAUUUGCAACCAAAGAGUUUCCAAGAAAUUUCAAUUUUUAAUUUUUAAAUUAAAUUAAAUUGGAAAAUGUGAUGAAACACCAUGCAAUUAUCGGACUAGAUUUUUCUUUAAGAUAAAAAUUACUUUUGUCAAGUAAAAUAAAAAUCUUG